rnacentral:rRNA from 1 species
UACGAAGGGGGCUAGCGUUGCUCGGAAUCACUGGGCGUAAAGGGUGCGUAGGCGGGUCUUUAAGUCAGGGGUGAAAUCCUGGAGCUCAACUCCAGAACUGCCUUUGAUACUGAGGAUCUUGAGUACGGGAGAGGUGAGUGGAACUGCGAGUGUAGAGGUGAAAUUCGUAGAUAUUCGCAAGAACACCAGUGACGAAGGCGGCUCACUGGCCCGUUACUGACGCUGAGGCACGAAAGCGUGGGGAGCAAACAGG